UGCAAAACCCUAUCCCCAGCUUUCUUCGCUCUUGUUCUACUUUUCGUUUGCUAUGUGAUUCUACUCUUAUUCCCGUUCAAUAGAUAAAGAAGGGCCUUCACAAUCCCGGAUAAAUUCUCUCAGCGUUUUUAUCCGAGAACACACAAGGCCGAAAUCGAUGGGCAAUUCUUCUUUACUUGGUGUCCAAUUUGAAUGCUUUGUUUCACAUUAGCAUUAAAAUAUCAAAGGUAAGAUAGGCCAGGUGCUAAAUCCUAAGCUUUGUAUCUCAUUACCAAUGCAGGGCCUUCUUUCCCUGUCUCAAUAUUGUUUUAUCGUUCUUCAUUUCUUUUCCUUUUGAGGUAGCAAGGUUUAGAAGGUUUUCUUGCUUUCUUCCCUCCAAUUAGCUAAUAAUGGCCUUCAUAAUCCCAGAUAAACUUGCUCCAAUUGUUUUUUCUGAUUCAUGGAAGGCCAAAAGUGAUGAUGGCAGUUUCGCUGAUAGCACCUUCUUUCUAGUUCUCUGUGGAGGUGUUUCAUUAGGAGCUUGCUGCACAAUACUGUCAUCUUUUUCUCUCUCCUUAGUGAGAAAAGAGAAAAUUGAGACAAAAUUUUGCUGAAAGUUGAUGGUUUGUUACAUUUGUUGCUUGCUUUCAUAGAGUAGACUAUGUUCUAACGUUCUAUUUAUUCUUUCUGUAACAACGGUUGUAUCCCUCUAUCUAUUUUGUUUUGUUCCAGGUGAAUUAUGUCGUUGAUUCUCGCCAUUGCUGAUGGAUUUCAAUGCUGAUUUUUUGUUGCUUUAAAUUUUGGAGGCUACUGAAAUAUUUCUUUUUCUCUAUUAGGUAUUCUGUUUCCUGUUAUUAUAUCAUUGUUGCUAUGUCCCGUGCCAUGCUUCAUGUUUAAAUUCCAAAUGCUAUUCCAUUGCAAAAACUACUCUUCGAUGUAAAAUUCAUUCCUUAAUGUUCCUGUUGCAGUCUUUUCUUUUUUUAAAGAUUGUGCUUUCAGUUUUGCUCUUACAGGUUUUCCAGUUCUGCCUUUUCCCCAUGCUAUCAGACUUGUUUUUAUUAGAUCAAAUGCCAUAAACUGUUUUUGAUCCAUAGGUAAUUGGAUUUGUCAUAUGUUUUUUUUCCUGAGAGUUGGUUCUCUAUUUUCCUUUUACAAUCUACAUUACAAGAAAGAUUUGAUUGCAAUGCUGUAAGUUUUUUUCGGGGUAAAGCAUGUUGUUACGAAGAUCUCAAAAAAUUCACUUAAUUGCUCAGCCAACAGUUUUUUUGAUCUCGAUACCAUUCAUAUAGGUUAUUUUGAAGUUAUAAACUUGUUGAUUGUAGAACAUAGGAGGAAAAAACCAUACUGUUUGUUAUGACUUUUAUAACCUGACAUGCUAUUUAUGAUUUUUGCUUUUUUUUUUCCUUUGAUAAUUUUUUAGGUCCUUCAAAUUUAUAGUGAAGCAACAACUAGAUUGUUAAGUGCUGACAGCAGUUUCUGCUCUCCCUGCCUCAUUCUUGAAACUGACAUUAUUAUGGUUGAUAAACCUAGAAUUAUGUAUUCUGGAGAUCUCUUUCUUAUAUGCAUUAAUUUGUCUCCAAAUUGGCAGUUUAAUUGAGGUACAAAGUGAUUUUUUGAUUUAAUUUGUGGGCUGGAAACGCUAAAGGCAGUUAAUUCUUUGUUCAUUCAUUUUUGUUAUUUGACAAAAGCAGCAAUCUAGGUUAUUUUAAUUUAUAUAGCAAUACUAUACUUCAGCAUGGUAUUUAUAUUGAGACAUACUCUAUUCAUAGGCAGGUUGGAAGUCCAAAAUAAAACUCUUUGGUUUGUAGGGCAUCUCAGAGAUUGCUGUUCAUAUUCAAAGGUGUAUACCUUCAAUUUAGGACCUCUAUCAUAUGGAUAUGUUGCAAGUCCAGUCAAGCUAAUCUGAUUGAAUGUAACCAGGUCUAAUCUCUCACUUCUAUAGUUACAAAUCAUCAGUAGUUGUUCAUGUCUGUGCAUGGGACACGGCAAAUGUCAAGAUCAAGCCAAACCUGCCCAGUGCUUGUAAUCUAUGCUACCUUAGCUAGAGAUAUCUCAUGAAUAUGAUGCAACCAAAUCUUGUUAUUAUGUAUCUGGACUAAACAAGCCAAGGCCAGCCGUUUCCUUGUGCACACACACCGGACUCGUAGUUGCUGGAAGGAGGAAGUCUAUGUGCGGACGGUGACUCUGCCCUAAUCAGUCUGCUGAACUUGAAACUCAACGUGGUAGCUGAAUGCAGAGAUAUAGAUGAAUUGAGGUACUUUCAGUUUGUUCAUUCAUGCAUGUUGAGGGAAACUGACCAGUUGGUACAUCGUAUUAUAGAUAUUUCUCGAGGGUUACCACUUUCUCAAAAAUUUUGUAUUGAAAUAAAAUGCUAUACUCAGUAGAUAUUCCACCAUUAAUGUGUAUGGGUUCCUCACCUGGUAAAUCAAUUGUUCUAUCCACAGAAUUACAUUUUGGAGGACUUGUGGUUUACUUGUGAUUUGAUCAUCCCUGUUGAAAAGA